rnacentral:rRNA from 1 species
UACGAAGGGUGCAAGCGUUACUCGGAAUUACUGGGCGUAAAGCGUGCGUAGGUGGUUCGUUAAGUCUGAUGUGAAAGCCCUGGGCUCAACCUGGGAAUGGCAUUGGAAACUGGCGACCUAGAGUGCGGUAGAGGGUAGUGGAAUUCCCGGUGUAGCAGUGAAAUGCGUAGAUAUCGAGAGGAACACCGGUGGCGAAGGCGAGUCCCUGGACAACACCUGACACUGAGGCACGAAAGCUAGGGGAGCAAACAGG